rnacentral:rRNA from 1 species
ACUCAAAGGAAUAGACGGGGGCCCGCACAAGCAGCGGAGCGUGUGGUUUAAUUCGACGCAACACGCAGAACCUUACCUAGGCUUGACAUGCACCUGCAAACGACUGAAAGGUCGUUGCCUUCGAGGGUGGUGCACUGGUGCUGCAUGGCUGUCGUCAGCUCGUGUCGUGAGAUGUUGGGUUAAGUCCCGCAACGAGCGCAACCCUUGCCCGGUGUUAUAUGUGUCACCGGGGACUGCCGUGGUGUAGACUACGGAGGAAGGCGGGGAUGACGUCAAGUCCGCAUGGCCCGUACGCCUAGGGCGACACACACGCUACAAUGGGUGGGGGAAUGGGCGGCUACCGGGCAACCGGAUGCAAAUCCCCAAGACCACCCGCAGUGCAGAUCGGGGGCUGCAACUCGCCCCCGUGAAGACGGAGUUGCUAGUAACCGCGUGUCAGCAGAGCGCGGUGAAUACGUACCCGGGCCUUGUACACACCGCCCGU